CAGUGCUGCUCUAGCUAACUGACUUUUUUGUUGUUCUUGAUGCAUUCUUGCCCCUUUUUUCAGAUUGUGUAUGGACAUAAAACGCCUUUUUCCCGUUGCAGAUGCGCGCAGAGAGAGAAUGAGAAAGAGAAAGAGAGAGAAGCGGAGAUGGUGGCUAGUGGAGUGCAGCUUGUGCGGGACAAGAAACACCGACGAGCGGCUACAGCUCACAGGAGUCCCCGCGGUACCGAUGGAGGAUGUUUAACCGAGUCGGAGCUCCGUGCUGACGGCCUAUGCAAGUCAUUGCAGCUCUUAAAAGUUUUUUGGAAGAAUAGAAAAUAUUGAAGACGCGCGAGACCAGCAGGUCACGCUGGAGUCUGGAUAAGACCCGGAUGCAGAAACGGUGCUGCAGCUGAUUUACCUGCAACAGGUGGUUAUUCCAAUCAAGAGUUCACAUGUUCUCAGCUUCCUGCAUCCUGACGAUUCGGUGUUGAUCUUCUUCACUACACAGAUGUUAGUAACGUGAUCUAUUUGGUGAUUGGAUGAUCAAGUGGAUCAAGGUUUCACCUUGUUGACAUGUGGACAUUUUGGCAAUGAACAAAAAAAUCUGGAUGAGUCUUGUGAAUGUGCGCAUUUGUGUAUCUGUGUGCAGAUAAUAUAUUUCUGUAUUAAAAUUUGGAGCUGUUAUGGUUAUUAAAAAGGGCAGGGCUAUGAUAAGUGAUUUGGCUAAUUAAUAUGAACUUUGUAUGAACUCCUGAGCUUGUAUAACCGGAGUUCUCCAGUAACAUGUUCAUACUGAUAUUACAGCAGGAUAAUAGCAGUGUGUGUGGGAGUGUUUACCUGACGCUUAGCUCACCUUUUGGCCAUUAGUACACACCUCACAAUCGCAACACACUGACUCCAGGGUGAAGGUGAAAGUGCCUGAGCUGCUGAGUAAAUAUGACUUUAAAGCCAGACAAGCUCACAGCUUUCUCAUCUAUAAUGAGAAGUAAAGACAAAAAGUACAUUUUUUGAUUCUACCUUUUCACAAAUCACUUAAUUCCACAUGACCAUAUAUAUUUUUAUUACUGUUUAAUCAUACUUUCACAGAAGUUCAACUUUUUUAGCAAAAAAAUUUCAGCCUCAAUUUCAGAAACUCUCAAAAAGAUCUAGUUACCGAUCUGAGCUAUUUAUGCGUCUAACAUGAGCUAGGUGGAACACAAUAAUAGAGAUUUUGUUUCACAUUAAUGUACUCAAACCAUUCUCCAAUUACUAUGACAGAAAAAUAAUAGACUUUAUAGAAGUGUAGCAAUUUGACAAGCACACUUUUUAUUUAUUAAAGAAUAACAUGGCAUAUUUUUAAUCCGUUUACAUUGUAGUUACACUUAAUCUGGUGGAAUGUCUAUGACAAAAGUCAUAGCAGCUAUGAAAACUUGUUUUGUCACCACAUUUUGUUUCUCUCUCUUAAAUUAAACAAGCAAAAAAAAAACCCCACAACUUAUGUUACCCAGGAACUCCUAUAUCCUGAUGCUGUCGAUGAACCUAAAGUUACAGCUUUACCUCUGUUACAAAGUGCUGACAUUGUACACAAAAAGCAAACAUCAUCAAAUGUGUGAUUCUUAAAAUCCUUUAGUGCGGAGUCUCCAACAUUCAAAAAAGUAUCUGUGAAUGAGGCGUUACUACAGAAAAUAACAUGUCAUAACCAGUGCCUUAAGUAUAAUUAAAUGUCAGAGCUGCUAUGGAUGUAUUAAUGAUAGAAAAUCAACGCCUGACCAAUCUUGAAUUCAACAGCACAUUGUUAUAAUGGAAAAGCUGUUACUCUUUCUGUUAUUUGUGAUAAUAAAGGAUGUAACAUCAUGAUAUAUUUUAUA